CCCAUAAUCGGGGCAUAGCCUAACGAAAGUUGGAUUAAUUCCCAUGUGCUAUGGAGAGGCAUCUCUUUAUAGUGAAAACGUAAGGAUUAUGGUUGAGCACGCCUCUGAAUUAGAGUAGUUGGUAGGGUAACGGCCUACCAAGUCGACGAUCAGUAGGGGUUCUGAGAGGAAGGUCCCCCACAUUGGAACUGAGACACGGUCCAAACUCCUACGGGAGGCAGCAGUGAGGAAUAUUGGUCAAUGGACGAGAGUCUGAACCAGCCAAGUCGCGUGAAGGAAGACGGUUUCUAUGGAUUGUAAACUUCUUUUGCACAAGAGUAAAGUGUGGUACGUGUACCAUAUUGCAAGUAUUGUGUGAAUAAGCAUCGGCUAACUCCGUGCCAGCCGCAGC
rnacentral:rRNA from 1 species